rnacentral:rRNA from 1 species
GUGAGGAAUAUUGGUCAAUGGACGGAAUCUGAACCAGCCAUGCCGCGUGCAGGAAUAAGGUCCUAUGGAUUGUAAACUGCUUUUAUUCGGGAAUAAACCUCUUUACGUGUAGGGAGCUGAAGGUACCGAAGGAAUAAGCACCGGCUAACUCCGUGCCAGCAGCCGCGGUAAUACGGAGGGUGCAAGCGUUAUCCGGAAUCAUUGGGUUUAAAGGGUCCGCAGGCGGGCUAUCAAGUCAGAGGUGAAAUCCCACAGCUUAACUGUGGAACUGCCUUUGAAACUGAUGGUCUUGAAUUAAGUGGGCGUUGGCGGAAUAUGACAUGUAGCGGUGAAAUGCAUAGAUAUGUCAUGGAACACCGAAAGCGAAGGCAGCUAACGAUACUUAUAUUGACGCUCAUGGACGAAAGCGUGGGUAGCGAACAGGAUUAGAUACCCUUGUAGUCC